UACGUAGGGACCGAGCGUUGUCCGGAAUCAUUGGGCGUAAAGAGCGUGUAGGCGGCCACUUAAGUCCUGCGUGAAAUCUUGCGGCUCAACCGCAAGCGGUCGUGGGAAACUGCCGUGCUGGAGUGUGGGAGAGGUGCGUGGAAUUCCUGGUGUAGCGGUGAAAUGCGUAGAUAUCGGGAGGAACACCUGUGGCGAAAGCGGCGCACUGGACCACAACUGACGCUGAGGCGCGAAAGCUAGGGGAGCAAACAGG
rnacentral:rRNA from 1 species